GCAUGCGCACACAAACAAAUAAAAGAAAAAUAAGGUAUAAUAGAAGGAAUUACUCUACAAAGACAGCAAGACAAACAGCAACCUCUUUGCAAAGUCUAAAGAAAAUAGAAAUUGGUGUCAUGGUUUUGUUUUUUUUAAAAAACCCGUUAACUUUAAAAUAUUGGCAUCAACAAAAAAUUCUAAGAGGAUUUUUCAGUUUGAACAGAUUUCCUUUGUAAAACCAUAGUAAUGAACAGUAAAAGCCAAGAUGAACUAUGUCAAAGGAAACAGAAGAGGCACAAGGAAGGACUGAGGAGGUGAUUAAAACCACAAGGCUACGGAGGGGCUCCACUGUUAAAAGCACUUGCUGAUCUUGAGAAGAGCCAGGUUCAGUUCCCAGCACAGCAUAAACACCAGUUACAAGGAUAGGACGGCCCCUUCUGGUCUCUACAGAAUUCUAACAAGUCAUAUCUACCAGCAAGUUUUCUAUCUUCCUCUUGAUUGCCAGACACGGAUUGGCAACUCUGUUCAUGGAAUCCAGGUCUUGAUUGCUUUCGUUCAGAGUACUAUGAGGCACAGACACUGCCUCGACCUGAGCUGCUGCUUCCUGAGUCUUUGUCUAAAGUAUGAACUUAGUGACUUGAGGGUUGAUGUUCUGAGCCUCUAUAUAGAAGCAUGAUUAGGAGAGGUAAUAGCCUAAGAGAAAUUAAGACUGAAAUCAGUCUGCUGAGCUUUAGGACUGGGUCUCAACCUGUGGGUCUUGACCCUCACAGGGGUCACUCAGCAGAUAUCCUGCAUCCGAUAUUUACAUCACGAUUCAUAACAGUAGCAAAAUUAUAGUUAUGAAGUAGCAGUGAGAUAAUUUUAUGGUUGGGGGUCAGCACAACAUAAGGAACUGUAUUAAAGGGUUACAGCAUUCGGAGGACUGAGAACCACUGCUCUACAGUAAACGGAGAAACCGAUUAUAUGGGAGGAUGAAAAACGUCGAAAGCAAACCACCAAAAUAAAUUGUUGGGCUGCCUCUCACAAGUAAGGCUAAAUUCAAGCCUUGCUCCAGUAGCUUAACACCUUGGCAUGAGUGUGGAAGUACAAAGAACACCCGAAGGGAAGCAAGUGCUGAUGUGUACACUGUCAUCUGUACACGCUUGGUCCAACACCUACCUGUUCACCUUUCAUUCUGCAAUAGUAGCCCGACAGUGUUAUCCACGAUGCUGGAGCUGCAGAGCCCAUCAUUGGCAACAUAGUACCUUUCUCAUUUGCAGUAAAUAAAACCAUUUCAAGCACACUGGAAACUACAUGACAGGACGCACAGCAGAUGGAGCACACUGAGCAUGCGCAGAGAAUGCUGCCCUGUCUCCCGUCUAGUCUCCAUCCAGGAAUGGAGACCGUUGGAACAGUGGCAGAAGACCAGCGCGGACUGUCACUACAUGUGUGCGGAGCAAGCUAACAGAAUUGGGUUUUCUUUGAGAACAUGAAGAAGCUCCUGUGCUUCCCGCAAAAACAAAAGUCAGAUAUUCCUAUUGAAAUCAGUGUUUCACCUUUUAACAAAUGUCUCCAUCAAGGUGUGAUGAUGCACACCUAUAAUCUCAACUCUUGGAGAGCAAUCAGAAAGAUCACCGGUUCAAAGGCAACCUGGGCUACCAAUCAGACUAUCUCAGAAAACUAAAGAAAAAUAAAUGCUUCCUCCUGUUGUGAUUUACCCCAUUCCUUCUCUGUUUUCAUGUUUCCUUUUCUUCUGAGAGGUGUCUGUAAAAAAACAAAUAUGUGUAUGUGCUCCAAAUAGUUAACUGCAGAAGUUUAUGAAAUAAGGCUGUAUUAUUUACAAUAAGGUAGAGGAGACCCAACUCAUCCCUUUACUGAAGCCAUGAUAACUGUAGACACUGAGAUUAGUUAAAGAUAUAGCAAAGAUUAGCAGCCAACGGCAACAAUUCAGUCUUAAGAUAAUUUUCUAGAAUAGAUGGAUCUAGGCCUGGCAUUCCCUGCCUGCCUGUAGCAAACUUCCUAGAGCAUCCUUCUUUCCUAUCUAUCCUGUCAG